AAAAAAACCUGUGGUCCCUUUGUUACUUGUCAACGUUCCGUAGGUGAACCUGCGGAAGGAUCAUU
rnacentral:rRNA from 1 species